AGCGCGCUGGCACGGUUCGCGGCCGCACGCUGGUGCCGGUCGCUGGCGACCCUGCUCGGCGCCGGCGUGCCGCUCGCCGAUGCGUUC
rnacentral:tRNA from 1 species